GACGAACGCUGGCGGCGUGCUUAACACAUGCAAGUCGAGCGGUAAGGCCCUUUCGGGGGUACACGAGCGGCGAACGGGUGAGUAACACGUGGGUGACCUGCCCUCAGCUCUGGGAUAAGCCUGGGAAACCGGGUCUAAUACCGGAUAUGACUCCAUGACGCAUGUUGUGGGGUGGAAAGCCUUGUGCGGCUGAGGAUGGGCCCGCGGCCUAUCAGCUUGUUGGUGGGGNGAUGGCCUACCAAGGCGACGACGGGUAGCCGGCCUGAGAGGGCGACCGGCCACACUGGGACUGAGACACGGCCCAGACUCCUACGGGAGGCAGCAGUGGGGAAUCUUGCGCAAUGGGCGAAAGCCUGACGCAGCGACGCCGCGUGAGGGAUGAAGGUCUCGGAUUGUAAACCCCUUUCGGGAGGGAGACGGCCUUAGACAACUAAGGCGGACGGUACCUCCAG
rnacentral:rRNA from 1 species